rnacentral:rRNA from 1 species
UCAGAUUGAACGCUGGCGGCGUGCUUAACACAUGCAAGUCGAACGCGAAAGGGACUUCGGUCCUGAGUAAAGUGGCGCACGGGUGAGUAACGCGUGGAUAAUCUGCCCUUAUGAUCGGGAUAACAGUUGGAAACGGCUGCUAAUACCGGAUACGCUCAAAAUGAACUUUUUGAGGAAAGAUGGCCUCUGCUUGCAUGCUAUCACGUAAGGAUGAGUCCGCGUCCCAUUAGCUUGUUGGCGGGGUAACGGCCCACCAAGGCAACGAUGGGUAGCCGAUUUGAGAGGAUGAUCGGCCACACUGGAACUGAAACACGGUCCAGACUCCUACGGGAGACAGCAGUGGGGAAUAUUGCGCAAUGGGCGAAAGCCUGACGCAGCGACGCCGCGUGAGGGAAUGAAGGUUUUCGGAUCGUAAACCUCUGUCAGAAGGGAAGAAACUACGUUGUGCUAAUCAGCAGCGUACUGACGGUACCUUCAAAGGAAGCACCGGCUAACUCCGUGCCAGCCGCCGC